rnacentral:rRNA from 1 species
GGAUGGGUAGGGGAGCGUCGUGUGCCGGGUGAAGCCGCAGCGGAAGCUAGUGGUGGACGGUUCACGAGUGAGAAUGCAGGCAUGAGUAGCGAUACACACGUGAGAAACGUGUGCGCCGAUUGACUAAGGGUUCCUGGGUCAAGCUGAUCUGCCCAGGGUAAGUCGGGACCUAAGGCGAGGCCGACAGGCGUAGUCGAUGGAUAACCGGUUGAUAUUCCGGUACCCGCUGUGAAGCGUCAAACAUUGAACCAGGCGAUGCUAAGUCCGUGAAGCCGCCCUGGAGCCUUCGGGCAAAGGGGAGUGGUGGAGCCGACGGACCAGACCUGUAGUAGGUGAGUGAUGGGGUGACGCAGGAAGGUAGUCCAGCCCGGGCGGUGGUUGUCCCGGGGUAAGGGUGUAGGACGUCAGGUAGGUAAAUCCGCCUGGCAAUAGUCUGAGACCUGAUGCCGAGCCGAUUGUGGUGAAGUGGAUGAUCCUAUGCUGUCGAGAAAAGCCUCUAGCGAGUUUCAUGGCGGCCCGUACCCUAAACCGACUCAGGUGGUCAGGUAGAGAAUACCGAGGCGUUCGGGUGAACUAUGGUUAAGGAACUCGGCAAAAUGCCCCCGUAACUUCGGGAGAAGGGGGGCCAUCACUGGUGAUCGGAUUUACUCCGUGAGCUGGGGGUGGCCGCAGAGACCAGCGAGAAGCGACUGUUUACUAAAAACACAGGUCCGUGCGAAGCCGUAAGGCGAUGUAUACGGACUGACGCCUGCCCGGUGCUGGAACGUUAAGGGGACCGGUUAGUGCACUUUCGGGUGUGCGAAGCUGAGAACUUAAGCGCCAGUAAACGGCGGUGGUAACUAUAACCAUCCUAAGGUAGCGAAAUUCCUUGUCGGGUAAGUUCCGACCUGCACGAAUGGCGUAACGACUUCUCGACUGUCUCAACCAUAGGCCCGGUGAAAUUGCACUACGAGUAAAGAUGCUCGUUUCGCGCAGCAGGACGGAAAGACCCCGGGACCUUUACUACAGUUUGAUAUUGGUGUUCGGUUCGGCUUGUGUAGGAUAGCUGGGAGACUUUGAAGCGGGCACGCCAGUGUCUGUGGAGUCGUCGUUGAAAUACCAGUCUGGUCGUGCUGGAUGUCUAACCUGGGUCCGUGAUCCGGAUCAGGGACAGUGUCUGAUGGGUAGUUUAACUGGGGCGGUUGCCUCCUAAAGAGUAACGGAGGCGCCCAAAGGUUCCCUCAGCCUGGUUGGCAAUCAGGUGUUGAGUGUAAGUGCACAAGGGAGCUUGACUGUGAGACCGACGGGUCGAGCAGGGACGAAAGUCGGGACUAGUGAUCCGGCGGUGGCUUGUGGAAGCGCCGUCGCUCAACGGAUAAAAGGUACCCCGGGGAUAACAGGCUGAUCUUCCCCAAGAGUCCAUAUCGACGGGAUGGUUUGGCACCUCGAUGUCGGCUCGUCGCAUCCUGGGGCUGGAGUCGGUCCCAAGGGUUGGGCUGUUCGCCCAUUAAAGCGGUACGCGAGCUGGGUUUAGAACGUCGUGAGACAGUUCGGUCCCUAUCCGCUGUGCGCGUAGGAAUAUUGAGAAGGGCUGUCCCUAGUACGAGAGGACCGGGACGGACGAACCUCUGGUGUGCCAGUUGUCCUGCCAAGGGCAUGGCUGGUUGGCUACGUUCGGGAGGGAUAACCGCUGAAAGCAUCUAAGCGGGAAGCCUGCUUCGAGAUGAGUAUUCCCACCAACUAGAUUGGUUAAGGCUCCCAGUAGACGACUGGGUUGAUAGGCCGGAUGUGGAAGCCCCGUAAGGGGUGAAGCUGACUGGUACUAAUAGGCCGAGGGCUUGUCCUC